rnacentral:rRNA from 1 species
UACGUAGGGGGCUAGCGUUGUCCGGAAUCAUUGGGCGUAAAGCGCGUGUAGGCGGUCCGGUAAGUCCGCUGUGAAAGUCGAGGGCUCAACCCUCGAAUGCCGGUGGAUACUGUCGGGCUUGAGUACGGGAGAGGCGAGUGGAAUUCCUGGUGUAGCGGUGGAAUGCGCAGAUAUCAGGAGGAACACCAAUGGCGAAGGCAGCUCGCUGGGACGGUACUGACGCUGAGGCGCGAAAGCGUGGGGAGCAAACAGG